rnacentral:rRNA from 1 species
GGGUCAGUAGGUUGGUCGUGCCACCGGUACGUACUGGUCUCACUGAUUCCUCCUUCCUGAAGAACCGUAAUGCCAUUAAUUUGGUGUUGUGGGGAAACAGGACUGUUACUUUGAAAAAAUUAGAGUGUUUAAAGCAGGCUAACGCUUGAAUACAUUAGCAUGGAAUAAUGAAAUAGGACGAUCGAUCCUAUUUUGUUGGUUUCUAGGAUUGACGUA